AAAUUGAAGAGUUUGAUCAUGGCUCAGAUUGAACGCUGGCGGCAGGCCUAACACAUGCAAGUCGAGCGGCAGCGGGAAAGUAGCUUGCUACUUUUGCCGGCGAGCGGCGGACGGGUGAGUAAUGCCUGGGGAUCUGCCCAGUCGAGGGGGAUAACAGUUGGAAACGACUGCUAAUACCGCAUACGCCCUACGGGGGAAAGGAGGGGACCUUCGGGCCUUUCGCGAUUGGAUGAACCCAGGUGGGAUUAGCUAGUUGGUGGGGUAAUGGCUCACCAAGGCGACGAUCCCUAGCUGGUCUGAGAGGAUGAUCAGCCACACUGGAACUGAGACACGGUCCAGACUCCUACGGGAGGCAGCAGUGGGGAAUAUUGCACAAUGGGGGAAACCCUGAUGCAGCCAUGCCGCGUGUGUGAAGAAGGCCUCGGGUUGUAAAGCACUUUCAGCGAGGAGGAAAGGUUGGCGCCUAAUACGUGUCAACUGUGACGUUACUCGCAGAAGAAGCACCGGCUAACUCCGUGCCAGCAGCCGCGGUAAUA
rnacentral:rRNA from 1 species